CUCAUCAAUGGUUGUCCACCAUACAUGACCUCUUGACUUCUGCUUCAUGCGGACUAUGCCAGGAUGACUUGCAUGUCAGAUUUCAAGAAUCUGCUGUUGUAACACAAAAGGAAUAACCACCCUUUCUCCCCAGACUAAGCAGCCAUCUUGAAUUGAUAACUCCUGAGCUCUUGUUUGGAAUGACUUGAGAUGUAUUGGAGUCUUUAGUGGCCAACCCUUGCAUACAAAAAUAGGUAUUUCCCUCAGCAAAGAGUCCUU